GCCAUGCCCCCAUUCCCUCCGCCACAAACUUCUAUGUCAUCGGGUAUCCUGGGAACACAAAAGAGGAUCCUGCGUUGCCUGAGGAAGAGAGCUGGGGUUGAUGGGUUUCCUAAAGAAAUCAGGCGGAGUCUUUCCUGUCUGAGCUGCCAGGGAAGCAGCAAAGCAGCUGCUCUACUAGUCACUCUGACAGAGCUGGUCUAUGACCCUCAGCUAUGUGGUCCAAGAUGGCGCACCUCCGUGACGUCAUCAUGCCGCCGGAAGGAGGGAGAGGGGAGGAGAGGUCCCGGAUCCACCGUCCUCUGCAAGGCUUUGACCCAGGAGUUCCACGUAUUGCUUCCUUCGACAUGUUAGUGUCCAGGUCUGAACCAUCUGGCUUCACUGAGCUGGAAGAGGAGCUAGGGAAAAUAUCGUUUUAGUUCUGAGUCAUCUUGCUAAAAGUCAUAGAGGAUUUUGAAAGAAAGAUGAGAGAUUGGAUGUUGAGGAGCAAUGGACAGUCUCUUCUGCAGAAAGCUUUGCAGAAACUCAUAGAGUUGAUGCUCUGAAAAGCAAUCAGAUUCUAGGUAUGAAAUCACCACUGAAAUUAAUGCCAAAGAG
ensembl:lncRNA